AGCGAACGCUGGCGGCAGGCCUAACACAUGCAAGUCGAACGAACCUUUCGGGGUUAGUGGCGGACGGGUGAGUAACACGUGGGAACGUGCCUUUAGGUUCGGAAUAACUCAGGGAAACUUGUGCUAAUACCGAAUGUGCCCUUCGGGGGAAAGAUUAAUCGCCUUUAGAGCGGCCCGCGCCUGAUUAGCUAGUUGGUUGAGGUAAUGGCCCACCAAGGCGACGAUCAGUAGCUGGUCUGAGAGGAUGAUCAGCCACAUUGGGACUGAGACACGGCCCAAACUCCUACGGGAGGCAGCAGUGGGGAAUCUUGCGCAAUGGGCGAAAGCCUGACGCAGCCAUGCCGCGUGAAUGAUGAAGGUCUUAGGAUUGUAAAAUUCUUUCACCGGGGACGAUAAUGACGGUACCCGGAGAAGAAGCCCCGGCUAACUUCGUG
rnacentral:rRNA from 1 species